CAGGGAGACAACAAAAUGUUUAAUAUUAUUAUUUUGUCACCUUAGGUCGAUCGGUAUCUCACAUUUUUAAUUUAUUAAGAAUUUCAUUUCCUAAGUUUUUCUAGGUCACACCCAUUAUUUUUCCUGGGCCAUUAGCUCAGGUGGUUAGAGCGCACCCCUGAUAAGGGUGAGGUCCCUGGUUCAAGUCCAGGAUGGCCCAUAUCUCUAUGUUGGGGGUAUAGCUCAGUUGGUAGAGCGCCUGCUUUGCAAGCAGGAUGUCAGCGGUUCGAGUCCGCUUACCUCCACUGAUUACCACCUCUUCCAUAACCGGUAGUAAAGGAAAUGUUUUGAGUUGUGAUCAAAUUCUGAAAGAAUCUAGCUUCCUAAUGAAAUCAUUAAGAUGCUGGACUCAUUGAAUUAAUUUCAUUGUUUUCAGAGAACCUUGACAACUGCAUAGAUUAUUUUUAAAGACAAUAAGCAUCUUUAAUGAUGCAGAUUUAUUAUUUGUGCGAAUGCAUUAAUAACAAUUCUAUUAAGCUGAUGCUUCAAUUUUUGAAGUUAUU
rnacentral:tRNA from 1 species